AUACAGUUAAGCAUCAGUUAAGUCUCAAAUCAACAUGCCUGCAAGCUCUUCGGUGUAUACGUCUAAAGAUUACAAGGUUGGCCUAGCUAUCUGUGAAUGUUGCAAAGGGGUUACUAAGUUCUCCUGUGUGCCUCUGCAGAUGGAGAGGUGGAAGUCCAUUUGUUUGUCCACAGCUCCCUUAUUCAAGGAUUCAGAAUAAUACAGAAAUGUCAUAUGGUUCUUCCCUGAGCAAUCUUAUGAUCUCCAGCAAUCCAAGGAGCUGAUCAAAAGGCAGAAUGAUGUGGUUGAUGAGAUGACAAUGGUGACCACGUGACACUGCCUGCCCAGUCUAAAUAUAGUACUGUAAAGUGAAUGGACCAUGAAACAUCUUCAGGACAUAAGCAGCUGUGAGAUGAGAUGGCCAAGAGGCUCUGCCAAAGAGCCAGAUGUUUUUGUCAGGCAAAAGAUCUGUCCAAUUUGACAUCUGGGUCUCAUGACCGUUUGCUUACUAUGCCCCAACCUUCUUUCAUUUCAGCAUAUUGUAAAGUCACAGGGGUGGAUAUGGGCAGAAAAUGAUUCCUUUAAAGCUGUUUUCCCACCCUCUACUUUUAUCUCUAAAGGUUAGCCAAGAAAGAUGUAUGAAAAGGUGUCCCGAUCUAAACAGCAAACCUUGCUCAGCAUUUUUAUUUGCCUGAUUAUAGAAACAUAUGGAUCUUGUUCAUUUUUGCCUUGAUUGCAUCCUAUAAUAUUUAAUAUACAACAUAAUUAGGCACCACAAUCCUAAUUCAAAGAUGUGUUGGCUGCAGGUGGUUAGGUUUAGGCACAGUCUUUGAAUUAAGAUUGUAAGGACUAUUUUCAUGGUAGAUAAAAUAAUGCUCUUCUGCCAGCUGAUCUGAGAGAUGUGCUGAGAGAGUGAUCUGCUGGCAGAAUAGUGCUGCUGACUAAGACUGUUGGCAGAAGAACCUUGGCCCGUUUCCUAGCUGUGGAGUUUGGUAAAGAGGUGGGUGGUGCGUUGGAGUUGUUGCCUCUGACCUCAGUCAUUCUGGCUGGGGAAAGGCUGGGAUGACGAGACUAAAAGGGGUUGGCUCUGGAGGGGAGGGCUCCUUCCAGCCUGGAAAGAUACCACAGUGCAAAUCUGGCCCUUCAGUGGCACAUGUGUGCACAGAGGUCCUGUUUUGGGAACUGCUUCAGGGUCUGAAUCACCAUGCCUGUAGCCUAACUGACUGGGACUAAAAGGAGUUUGCACCCAAGGAUAUCUGGAGCAAAGAAGUUUAUAGUUGUAAACAGAAAAGGGAAAUAUUCCAAGCUUUGAUUUGGAGGGCCAUGGCUAGACAAUGACAGCUCUGCAAUAUUGUCUGCCAGGUCUCUGGAGAUUAUAUAAUAUGUUUGCAAACUCCCAGGAGUCUCUGCAAUGAAAGGAGAAAUAAAGUCACAAAGGAAUGGGCUGAGGGCUCUGUUCCUGAGAACAUACAGCUGCCUCUGACCCCUCUGUAUAUUAGACAGAAUGCUUGGAAGAAACAAGUAACUUGUACAAGAACAAGCCUGUAAUUUAAAAUCAUUUGUGGGCAAUCAGGGUGUAAACCAGUUACCUGUCCUAAGUAACAUGAGGAAUGACUGCUAUAUAUUUUGGUAUGUGCAAUAAGCCAUGUUUUCAAGUUACUUUUAAAGGGCGUUGUAGAGGCACCUUGAGCAGUUUUAAAUCGUAUUUCAUGCCAUUUCUUGUCAGUUCUAAAGGGUUUUUUAAGCAACAAAACCAACAACAACCCCAAAAUGAGCAACAUUAUACUGUAAUUAGAUUUCUUUAAAAAAAAAACUUUUAAAAAGCUAAUUAAUUAGUGGCACAGUUUCAAAUAUGUUACAUAAGGCAACAUUUUUUGAAAAAAGUAACUUUCCAAUUGGAGAUGACUGCACAUGAAGAUUAACAGAGGAGAAUCCUAUAUACCUAGAUUUUCCUGUAUUAAGGCAUGCCUUCCAUCAUUUCAUAGAUGAAAACUGGGACAUGUAUGACCAAGCAACAAUAGAGUGUAGUCACGAUGGCAAAAGUUAUAAAUGAGGAAGAACACACAAGCUAGCAGAGGCUGCUGCAGUUUACAUUUGUCUGAGAAGGACCAGACUUUGCCUCUUCCUUUCCUCCUCCUUUGCAGAGCUAAUGGAGUUCAAGCAACUUUUUCACUUUGAACUCAGUUUGCCACAAUUGGAAGAGGAUGAGGAUGAAGGAAAAAGAUGAGAGGAUCAGAGUGAAACUGGGACAUUUUAAAGCAGCUGAAAAAGUGGGAUGACAGAAGAUUAACUGAGAUGGUUUCUGCCAAAUUAGAACUGUUGGAGGAUAUACAUAGGUUUUAAAGGAGCUGCAACAUUGAUUGUGUUGGAUUUCACCCCAGGAAUCCUAUGCACACUGAAAUCUGUUCAAGUAGGCCUCUCCUUUUCUUGCAUGUAACUUUAUUUAAUAUGUGAAUGUGAGAGGAGGGGCUACAAGAUGUAUUUCUUCAUGUAUAUAACCCAUGGAAGGGGGUGCAACCUCAUCCAGUAUUACCAAGGCUGUAGGAUGAUGGGAACUGUAAACCAACAGAAUCUGGAGGGCUAUAUGUUCCUUAGCCCUGGACUAUGGCCUCUGAACUAUCCUGGACUAUAGUCUCUGAUUCUAAUAUAGAAAUUAAGAAGUCUUUUUGUUAGCAGUCUUGCACAAGAUUCUAAAAGCUAUGGAAUUGACUUCAUGACUAUGCAACCCAGCUUACUAUUGAAAUAUUAAUUAGAAACACUGAAUGUUGAAGAAAAUAUUAUAACCACAGAACAAUAAUAAAAAAACCCUCAAAGCAACUCAGGGCACAGUGGUGGAAAGAAAAUGGUUUGAUUAAAUGGCUUUCAUAACUGUGAAUUGUGGCAUGUUUUUCCUCGGCAUUUCAACAAAAGGCAUAACAAUGGGGCACAAAGAGGCAUUUAAAGUCUCAAGGAUGUGGAUUAUUAAACAAACGGCAAUUAUUCUUAAUAAGUUCUUCUAAGCCUCCACAAAGGCGUAGUCUGGAGAGGGCCCUAGUGACUAGAAUGAUUUGGGGAAACCCAGGCUUUUUGCCAGUUAUGACAAGGGCCAUGCUGCUCAGCAUACUCCACUAAUGAGGCUUUUUAUAACAUUAUAU